AGGACACGCUGGCGGCGUGGAUUAGACAUGCAAGUCGAACGGUAUCAUCCUUUCGGGGGUGAGAGAGUGGCGAACUGGUGAGUAACACGUAGGUUAUCUACCCUCAAGACGGGGACAACCCAGGGAAACUUGGGCUAAUACCGGAUGUGAGCAACUUUUAGUUGUUUGAAAGGUGGCGUAAGCUGUCGCUUGGGGAUGAGCCUGCGUCCUAUUAGUUAGUUGGUGAGGUAACGGCUCACCUAGGCAAUGAUAGGUAGGCGGCCUUAACGGGUGGUCGCCCACACUGGGAUUGAGAUACGGCCCAGACUCCUACGGGAGGCAGCAGUCGAGAAUAGUCUACAAUGGUCGGAAGACUGAUAGUGCGACGCCGCGUGAACGAUGAAUCCCUUCGGGGUGUAAAGUUCUUUUAUAUGUGAGCAGUGCUUCUUAUAUUAACAGUAUGGGGAGAGAGAUAUUAGCAUAUGAAUAAGCAACGGCUAACUCCGUG
rnacentral:rRNA from 1 species